rnacentral:misc_RNA from 1 species
UCUUAUCGAGCGAGCUCGAACAUGCAGCGCUCAGCAGUCAUCAUUCUGAGUCUGGCAUGCCUGGGCGAUUUGCGCAAUAUUAAUAGGGAUAAUUUUAAAAUGUUGCUGUCACCAAAGUAUCCACGCGCUGGGGAUCUGUUCAAUGUUACCUUCCGGGUUACGUCGACAGACGAUCUGCCCGAAGACUGUACAAGUAUUGAUCAAGUAUAUAUGCAGUCUAAAAAAGGUGAAAACUUAACGGUGCACAUACUGAACAACACGGCCUUGUAUCACAACGCGUCUUCAGCAGUGGCCGUGGUUGCCAAUGGUGCAUUGGAGUAUGAAGCUUUAUGCAAUGGGGCAUCUCUCACUGGAGUCAGUCCUAUGAUCGGCGCCAAAUUAGAGAACAUAGACUUUAACUGUAUUUGUUGGGUCAGCGGCGAUAUGGUCUGCACCUUCAGUAAACCACAGUUUGAUAAAAAAGAAGGCUAUUACAGGGCAAACUUCACGCUGCAUCGCGAAGGACAAGGGACGCCGACAACCUGCUCUUAUAAAGACAAAAGUGAAACACAGGUGGAGUGCAAACUAACAAUUGAGCCUUUGACAACAUUGACUCUCUCGCUGAACAUGACGGAUGAUGGUGGUGAACAGGGACUAACCUUUAAUGUUUCCCAACAAGAGUCCAUCAUGAUGGAUGCGCUCACAGAGUGGAUGCGACUGAAUCACACUAGCAAUAGCAUUUGCCUGAGUUUCAAGAACGAACUGCAAAGCGAAUACAAUGUAAAUGCUAUCGAGUGGUCUGUGUAUCUGACGGACCACAAUCACACUUUUCAAUCAAUCAAUAAUACUUCUGAAUACGAGACUAACGUGGAUAUCAUUUGUGUAUGGGAGCUGCUCUAUCCUCAUUACAGCUAUACAUUCGACAUUAAGAGGCGUGCCAACAGCAAAGCUCCCUGGAGUCCUUCCUUUGUCCACAGCUUCAGCACAGCCGCCGCUCUGCCAUCAGGUCCGCCGCUUGUGUGGCCAAGUGGCUAUGAGCUCAAUCUCGACGAAGGAACACUCAGCGUCUACUGGCAGCAGCUGGAUGAGCUGAAACACAAUGGUGAAAACUUUACUUACAAUGUCAGUGUCCAAAACAACAACAAAAACAACAGAAGCCUAAUCAAACAUGUCAAAAUUGAUAUCCGGCCAAGUCAGGCCAUAAUCAGUAAACUUAAUAUGAAAAGUGGCAGCUAUAUAAUAAUAAUACGUAGCCAAAAUGAAAUCGGAGUGUCGGAGAACAGCAGCGAAAUUGUCGUGGAGAUGUCACCCGAACCAUAUAAAUUGAUGCCGAGGAAUGUAACAUUGACGGAAAAGUUAUUGGUUUGGGCAGAGCCGCAGCGGACUGACCAACUGCAGAGCUACACGGUCUUCUGGUGCAAACUGAAUGGGACAAAUCACAGAAAAUGCAAUGAUACCCUGUCGAUAAUGUCGGAGCAGGUGGUCCAUACCAAGUGCUCUUUCAUGAAAGAAGGUUUUGGAGAUGGCACCUUUAUAUGGGCCGUCUCGGCCAAUUAUGGUAGCGGCAGCGGCAGUGGCGGAAUGCGCUGGAUGAAUCCGUUGUAUACUGAAGUUCAUCAUGAAUAUCAUGGUGGGAUGAUUGACAGUUUGAAAGCUUUAACAGCUCUUGUGGUGCUCGUUGUUGUAACGUAUGCAGUAAUCCGCCGAUGUCGAUUUAUGUCCAACAUCGGUGUAGAUUUGCCGGAGGGUCUUUUCAAGGAACUGGAGCUAAAUACAGCUGAGCAGCCAAGCCCAAAAGAAGCACACGAGAAGACAACCGAUCUAGUUAACGCCCCGGAAAUGACCCUCGAGUUAUUAACCGAUUUUAGGCCGCACGAUGAUUUCACAGCACAAACUCAACUUCCAGUCAAUGAAGGUUAUCUCAAAAUGGAUCCCCAACAAGUAAAUGCCGAGUACAAGUUCCUCACUUCUCAAGGUCGCACUAUUACUGCCUUGGGGUAUUGUUCCACAACGCAAAUGUUUAGCGACUAUAAAUAAAAAAUGUGCUUUCACCUUCGAAAUCCGGGCUCAAAUUUUCAAAAUACGGGUAGAUUUUUUUUGAGUGUAAUAGUAGAAAAUAUUUUUAAAAAAUAAAAACAAUCACCAUAUUUUUCAGAUUGUCAAUUUAGGUACUAAGCAGACAUUAUUGUAUUGUGAUUUAGGGCAAGCCUAAUUUUAAGAAUUAUUUGUUUUAUAUUUAGGAUUUAUUUCUAAAAACAAGAAAAGUUUUCUAGUUUUCAGGGCGAUCUUUUUCCUGAAUGUAUCAAAAACAAUAGUGCUUUAUGAUCAGUGUCGCCUUAUUGUCUCUGGAUUUUAAACUACCGUUUUUUAUUCAUAUAACGACCGCUGUAAUAAUUUUAAAAAAAUUGUCCCAAAAUCUGGACAUUGAAACGUUUUUCUUGAAGUUAUA